ensembl:lncRNA
CAGCAAAAUGGCCCAGCAUCCUUCCCAGUGAAUGGCGGGUCGCCCUGGCCUCCACACAGGCCUGGCGCCCCGGCGGCCGGCCACACACACACACAACACACACACACACACACACACUUUCUCGGACUUCAGGAAACCAGCCUUUGUUCCCAAGACGCAAAAACCUGGGCUCCAGCGACUAGGCCCCCGCCUCCCCGCAACCGGCCUCUCCAAGCGUCCCAGGCCGGUCUGGGAAGAAGCCCCAUUUUCUCCCGUGUCCCAAGUGCUGGGGACACGUGGCUGCCACCUGGGGGCUCCAGCUUUCUAAACACACACACGCCGACACCCACACCCGCACGCCCCGAAGGGAGGGAUCGCCGCCGUCAUUGUCAUCUGGCCGAGCUGUGCCCCGCGGGGCGCGCUCUCCAACUUCCACGAUCUCACACGGGCGCAAGCGCGCGCGCACCAGGCGAGGGCGCCCAGGGCCCACGUGCCCUCGAGGGCGCACCGCGACCCUCCCGCGCCCCCCCCCCCCUCACCACGCGGGCGCAAGCCCGGAAAGCGCCCGCGUCCGCCCGCGCCCUGCGCUCCCCGCCCCCGCGGCCCCGCUCCGGAGCCCGGCGCCCGGCCGGCGGGACGGCUCUCACCUCGGCCUUUGUCCUCCCGCCGACGCAGCCCCGCUCCGGUGCGACCGCCGCCGUCGGAGGGCCGGCCCAGCCUACCCGCCGCGGUCCCACCCACAGCUGCCGGGCUCGGGGCCGGGCGGGGGGCGCUCGGCAAAGCCCGGAGCCGCGGAGCGCGGCCCGCGCCGGGGACGCGACCCCUGACCCCGGCCGCCGCCCCCCGCCCCCCCGCCUGAGUCCACUUCUCCGGGUCUUCGGGCCGACCGCGCGGCAGGGACGCGCGGUGGGCACGGCCGCCCCGGGACCCGGGCUGGGGAAGGGUCGCGCGCGGUGUGGGCGGCGUCCGGCGAGGGGUGUGGGCCACGCGGCAGGAGCCAGCCCCCGCGCCGGGAGUUCGGGCCCCCGCGGCACCCCGGCCCCCUCGUUCCCCACCCCCGCGCCCGGAUCCCCGCGCCCACAAGGCGGGUGGGAGGGUCAGCCAACGGCCCUGUCCGGCGCCGGCGUCCACCUCGAGGAAAUAACCAGGUCCCCACCUGAAGCUCCCGGCACCCGGCCGGCCCCGCGCGCUGGAAAGGUCGCUUUCUUCUCGGUCCUCCCCGCGGGCCCCCUCCCCGCGUUCCCGCGUGACCCAGACCUGGAGCCCCUCCGGCCACCGCGGACAUCGCGGGGCGGGUGGGGGAUCUGGACACAAGUGGGAAGAACCCGCCGAGAACAGAGGUCAUUUUGUCGCUUGGGACCCAGGCGCCCGGAGGAGACAAGGAACCUGUGAGGUGCUGCACAGGAGUCGGAGGACCUGUCCUGGACCCUCCCUGCCCCUCACCUCCACGCGUUGCCAGCGAGGCCUUGGGCCUAUGAGUCACUGUCCUCCUGGACUGGAGAGUCACAGCCACCCAGCUGGGCAGUUAAGCGAGGAAAUGACAGAAUGAGGGGACAGCUCCCAGCAAAUGCCAGCACACAAGCAGGGCCUCAGUGAAGACGUUGACUGAAUCAAUCGUGGCAGAUCUGUAGCCUGAGUGGCAGCACCGUCAUGUUCCUUACUGUGAAGUAUUUCAAACACACGCUGGAGAGGCGACGUCAUGAGCCCUCCCUGUGUGCCCAAGAACCAGCCAAUCCUAACAUCUUGCCAUACUUGCUUCGGAUGUUCGUGUACAAAAUAAAUAAUAUCACAAUACAGUUAAAGCCCCUGGG